rnacentral:rRNA from 1 species
CAGCCGCCACGGUAAUACGAAGGGUGCAAGCGUUACUCGGAAUUACUGGGCGUAAAGCGUGCGUAGGUGGUGGUUUAAGUCCGUUGUGAAAGCCCUGGGCUCAACCUGGGAAUUGCAGUGGAUACUGGGUCACUAGAGUGUGGUAGAGGAUAGUGGAAUUUCCGGUGUAGCAGUGAAAUGCGUAGAGAUCGGAAGGAACAUCUGUGGCGAAGGCGACUAUCUGGGCCAACACUGACACUGAGGCACGAAAGCGUGGGGAGCAAACAGGAUUAGAUACCCGUGUAGUCCCUGUCUCUUAUAA